rnacentral:rRNA from 1 species
UAGGGAAUCUUCGGCAAUGGACGGAAGUCUGACCGAGCAACGCCGCGUGAGUGAAGAAGGUUUUCGGAUCGUAAAGCUCUGUUGUUAGAGAAGAACGUUGGUAGGAGUGGAAAAUCUACCAAGUGACGGUAACUAACCAGAAAGGGACGGCUAACUACGCGCCAGCAGCCGCGGUAAUACGUAGGUCCCGAGCGUUGUACGGAUUUAUUGGGCGUAAAGCGAGCGCAGGCGGUUCUUUACGUCUGAAGUUAAAGGCAGUGGCUUAACCAUUGUACGCUUUGGAGACAGGAGGACUUGAGUGCAGAAGGGGAAAGUGGAAUUCCAUGUGUAGCGGUGAAAUGCGUAGAUAUAUGGAGGAACACCGGUGGCGAAAGCGGCUGUCUGGUCUGUAUCUGACGCUGAGGCUCGAAAGCGUGGGGAGCAAACAGG